rnacentral:tRNA from 1 species
UGAACUGAAGCUCUGCGAAGCUUUUAGCUGUUAACUAAAAAGGAAUAAUAAAUUUAUCUGUUCA